GGAGUUGUGGCUCAGUGGCAGAGUGCUCACCUAGCAUGUGUGAGGCACUGGGUUCGAUUCUCGGCACCA
rnacentral:tRNA from 1 species